rnacentral:rRNA from 1 species
UACGGAGGAUCCGAGCGUUAUCCGGAUUUAUUGGGUUUAAAGGGUGCGCAGGCGGGGGAUUAAGUCGGCGGUGAAAUUUUGCAGCUCAACUGUAAAAGUGCCUUCGAAACUGGUUUCCUUGAGUGUAGAUGAAGUAGGCGGAAUUUGUGGUGUAGCGGUGAAAUGCAUAGAUAUCACGAGGAACUCCGAUUGCGAAGGCAGCUUACUAAACUACUACUGACGAUCAGGCACGAAGGCGUGGGGAUCAAACAGGAUUAGAUACCCCGGUAGUCCCUGA